UACGGGGGGAGCAAGCGUUGUUCGGAUUUACUGGGCGUAAAGGGCGCGUAGGCGGCCACCGCAAGUCGACUGUGAAAUCUCCGGGCUUAACCCGGAAAGGUCAGCCGAUACUGCGGGGCUAGAGUGCAGAAGGGGCAACUGGAAUUCUCGGUGUAGCGGUGAAAUGCGUAGAUAUGCGGAGGAACACCGAUGGCGAAGGCAAUCCCCUGGGCCUGCACUGACGCUCAUGCACGAAAGCGUGGGGAGCAAACAGG
rnacentral:rRNA from 1 species